rnacentral:rRNA from 1 species
CCCUUAGAUGUUCUGGGCUGCACGCGCGCUACACUGAAGCGUUCAACGAGUAUUUCACCUUGCCCGGGAGGGUUGGGUAAUCUUUUUAAAACGCUUCGUGAUGGGGAUAGAUUAUUGCAAUUAUUAAUCUUCAACGAGGAAUUCCUAGUAAGCGCGAGUCAUCAGCUCGUGCUGAUUACGUCCCUGCCCUUUGUACACACCGCCCGUCGCUACUACCGAUUGAAUGAUUUAGUGAGGACUUCGGACUGGGACCGAUGCGGCUUUCGGGCUGCGUCGGUAUUCUGGAAAGAUGUCCAAACUGUAUCAUUUAGAGGAAGUAAAAGUCGUAACA